rnacentral:misc_RNA from 1 species
AACGGUCUAUACCUGCGGUACCUGCGGAGGGAUCAUUACCGAGUUAUCAACUCCCAAACCCCUGUGAACAUACCCGAACGUUGCCUCGGCGGGACCGCCCCGGCGCCCCUAGCGGCCCGGAACCAGGCGCCCGCCGGAGGACCCAAACUCUUGCUUUAAACAGUGGCAUACUCUCUGAGUCUCACAAACAAAAAAUAGAUCAAAACUUUCAACAACGGAUCUCUAGAUCGGAAGAGCACA